UACAGAGGUGGCAAGCGUUGUUCGGAUUCACUGGGCGUAAAGCGCACGUAGGCGGACUUGUCAGUCAGGGGUGAAAUCCCGAGGCUUAACCUCGGAACUGCCUUUGAUACUGCAAGUCUUGAGGAUGAGAGAGGUAAGUGGAACUGCGAGUGUAGAGGUGAAAUUCGUAGAUAUUCGCAAGAACACCAGUGGCGAAGGCGGCUUACUGGCUCAUUUCUGACGCUGAGGUGCGAAAGCGUGGGGAGCAACAGG
rnacentral:rRNA from 1 species